rnacentral:tRNA from 1 species
UGGCCUGUGGCGCAACGGUUAGCGCGGUUGCCUUAUACGCAAACGGUUACUGGUUCAAGUCCAGUCAGGCCAACAA